GUGGUAGUGGCUCAGAGGUAGAGCUCCCGCUUCGUACUCGGGAAUACCUGGGUUCGAUCCCAGGCUGCUUUC
rnacentral:tRNA from 1 species